rnacentral:misc_RNA from 1 species
GUCCUUCCAUGUUUGAAAACAAAUUUAAUCUCCUUUCCUGGGUCUCUGAAGUGAAAAUCGUGGUUCAUAUAGUAGAUUGGUAUCAACUGUACUUGUGAACGUCGUACUCUUAUCCAUAGCUUCUCCUACAGAAGCAAUGUCCUCCACAUCAUCUGUCAACUCUGAGGAUGACUCAUGCGAAGUAUCUCUUGAAACAUUGCCAAGCAGGCUUUUGUACAUAGUCAGCGCCUGAGCCAUUAUAUUAGCAGGAUUGGCAGUAGCACUAGGAAGCAACAUUGUUGUCCCC